UACGUAGGGUGCAAGCGUUAUCCGGAUUCACUGGGUUUAAAGGGUGCGUAGGUGGGCUAGUAAGUCCGUGGUGAAAUCCCCGAGCUUAACUCGGGAACUGCCGUGGAUACUAUUAGUCUUGAAUAUCGUGGAGGUAAGCGGAAUAUGUCAUGUAGCGGUGAAAUGCUUAGAUAUGACAUAGAACACCGAUAGCGGAGGCAGCUUACUACGCGAUUAUUGACACUGAGGCACGAAAGCGUGGGGAUCAAACAGG
rnacentral:rRNA from 1 species